CAGGAGCUGUCAGUAGUAUAAGAACAGAAGAUUACUGAGGAUUAGACAACAGUGAUCUCAGAAUGCUUCAGACUACCCAAAAGUGCUAGAAAGGAGACAAGAUUUUCAGGUGAAGAACAACAGGAAAGGACCACCUGCCCAGGGGCGCCACCAAUCAUAAUGGGUUGGGCCCUCACACAUCAAUCACUAAUCAAGAACGUGCCCUGCAGACUUGUCUACCUGCCAAUCUGAUGGAGGCACGCUCUCAACAGAGGUUUUACCAAUCUGAUGGAGGCACGCUCUCAACGGAGGUUUUACCAAUCUGAUGGAGGCACGCUCUCAACUGAGGUUUUACCAAUCUGAUGGAGGCACGCUCUCAACGGAGGUUUUACCAAUCUGAUGGAGGUAUGCUCUCAACGGAGGUUUUACCAAUCUGAUGGAGGUAUGCUCUCAACUGAGGUUUUACCAAUCUGAUGGAGGUAUGCUCUCAACGGAGGUUUUACCAAUCUGAUGGAGGUAUGCUCUCAACGGAG
ensembl:lncRNA LOC102554278 uncharacterized LOC102554278